rnacentral:lncRNA from 1 species
CAGAGGAUGGAUAAGCUGGAAUCCAUGAUGGCAAAUUGAAACCUACUUGGUCUAGCUAAACUGACAAAUACAAAUUCACCCAAAUGCAUACAGCAAUUGCCAUAUAAAUUUACAUGACCACAAACUGUAUGUAAGAAUUCCUAUUGGGCUUCCCAUUCUCACCAAUAUUUGUUUUUGUCCAACUUUGUUUUUACAUUUUUGCUAUGAUGGUCACUGUAAAAUUAUAUCUCAUUUUGAUUGGUUUUAACUUGUACUUUUCUCAUUCAUGAUGGGAAGAAGAACUUUAUAAAUUCAUGUUAUUAAUUUUCUGUUGAUUUAUCAUUUUCAAGUAUCUUUUCCCAAUUUGUGGUUUGUUUUUUAUGUUUUUAAAAGGUUCCCCUUAAUGAACAAAUUUCUUAUUAAAUUUAGUGAUAAUGUAAAGUAUGGGAUAUACUUUUGAUGAGUUGUUU